GACGAACGCUGGCGGCGUGCUUAACACAUGCAAGUGGAGCGACGAACCAGGCUUCGGCCUGGGGCAAAGCCGCGAACGGGUGAGUAUCACGUGGGUAACCUGCCCCGAUGACCGGGACAACCCGAGGAAACUCGGGCUAAUACCGGAUGUGCUGUUCAGCCUCAAGGCUGAACAGGAAAGGAAGCUUCGGCCUCCGCAUCGGGAGGGGCCCGCGGCCCAUUAGCUUGUUGGUGAGGUAAAGGCUCACCAAGGCCGCGAUGGGUAGCUGGUCUGAGAGGACGAUCGGCCACACUGGGACUGAGACACGGCCCAGACUCCUACGGGAGGCAGCAGUGGGGAAUCUUGCGCAAUGCGCGAAAGCGUGACGCAGCAACGCCGCGUGAGGGAAGAAGGCCUUCGGGUUGUAAACCUCUUUCAGGAGGGACGAAGGUUCAGGCGCGAAUAGCGGCCUGGACUGACGGUACCUCCAGAAGAAGCCCCGGCUAACUACGUGCCAGCCGCCGCAGUAACAC
rnacentral:rRNA from 1 species